rnacentral:rRNA from 1 species
GGGUUGUGAGGUUAAGCGACUAAGCGUACACGGUGGAUGCCCUGGCAGUCAGAGGCGAUGAAGGACGUGCUAAUCUGCGAAAAGCGUCGGUAAGGUGAUAUGAACCGUUAUAACCGGCGAUGUCCGAAUGGGGAAACCCAGUGCAAUUCGUUGCACUAUCGUUAACUGAAUACAUAGGUUAACGAGGCGAACCGGGGGAACUGAAACAUCUAAGUACCCCGAGGAAAAGAAAUCAACCGAGAUUCCCCCAGUAGCGGCGAGCGAACGGGGAGCAGCCCAGAGUCUGAAUCAGCUUGUGUGUUAGUGGAACGGUCUGGAAAGUCCGACGGUACAGGGUGAUAGUCCCGUACACCAAAAUGCACAGGCUGUGAACUCGAAGAGUAGGGCGGGACACGUGGUAUCCUGUCUGAAUAUGGGGGGACCAUCCUCCAAGGCUAAAUACUCCUGACUGACCGAUAGUGAACCAGUACCGUGAGGGAAAGGCGAAAAGAACCCCGGCGAGGGGAGUGAAAAAGAACCUGAAACCGUGUACGUACAAGCAGUGGGAGCACCUUCGGGUGUGACUGCGUACCUUUUGUAUAAUGGGUCAGCGACUUAUAUUCUGUAGCAAGGUUAACCGUAUAGGGGAGCCGCAGGGAAACCGAGUCUUAACUGGGCGUUAAGUUGCAGGGUAUAGACCCGAAACCCGGUGAUCUAGCCAUGGGCAGGUUGAAGGUUGGGUAACACUAACUGGAGGACCGAACCGACUAAUGUUGAAAAAUUAGCGGAUGACUUGUGGCUGGGGGUGAAAGGCCAAUCAAACCGGGAGAUAGCUGGUUCUCCCCGAAAGCUAUUUAGGUAGCGCCUCGUGAACUCAUCUUCGGGGGUAGAGCACUGUUUCGGCUAGGGGGUCAUCCCGACUUACCAACCCGAUGCAAACUACGAAUACCGAAGAAUGUUAUCACGGGAGACACACGGCGGGUGCUAACGUCCGUCGUGAAGAGGGAAACAACCCAGACCGCCAGCUAAGGUCCCAAAGUCAUGGUUAAGUGGGAAACGAUGUGGGAAGGCACAGACAGCCAGGAUGUUGGCUUAGAAGCAGCCAUCAUUUAAAGAAAGCGUAAUAGCUCACUGGUCGAGUCGGCCUGCGCGGAAGAUGUAACGGGGCUAAACCAUGCACCGAAGCUGCGGCAGCGACACUAUGUGUUGUUGGGUAGGGGAGCGUUCUGUAAGCCUGCGAAGGUGUGCUGUGAGGCAUGCUGGAGGUAUCAGAAGUGCGAAUGCUGACAUAAGUAACGAUAAAGCGGGUGAAAAGCCCGCUCGCCGGAAGACCAAGGGUUCCUGUCCAACGUUAAUCGGGGCAGGGUGAGUCGACCCCUAAGGCGAGGCCGAAAGGCGUAGUCGAUGGGAAACAGGUUAAUAUUCCUGUACUUGGUGUUACUGCGAAGGGGGGACGGAGAAGGCUAUGUUAGCCGGGCGACGGUUGUCCCGGUUUAAGCAUGUAGGCUGGUUGUCCAGGCAAAUCCGGAUAAUCAAGGCUGAGGUGUGAUGACGAGGCACUACGGUGCUGAAGUAACAAAUGCCCUGCUUCCAGGAAAAGCCUCUAAGCAUCAGGUAACAUUAAAUCGUACCCCAAACCGACACAGGUGGUCAGGUAGAGAAUACCAAGGCGCUUGAGAGAACUCGGGUGAAGGAACUAGGCAAAAUGGUGCCGUAACUUCGGGAGAAGGCACGCUGGUGUGUAGGUGAAGCCCCUGCGGGUGGAGCUGAGACCAGUCGAAGAUACCAGCUGGCUGCAACUGUUUAUUAAAAACACAGCACUGUGCAAACACGAAAGUGGACGUAUACGGUGUGACGCCUGCCCGGUGCCGGAAGGUUAAUUGAUGGGGUUAUCCGUAAGGAGAAGCUCUUGAUCGAAGCCCCGGUAAACGGCGGCCGUAACUAUAACGGUCCUAAGGUAGCGAAAUUCCUUGUCGGGUAAGUUCCGACCUGCACGAAUGGCGUAAUGAUGGCCAGGCUGUCUCCACCCGAGACUCAGUGAAAUUGAACUCGCUGUGAAGAUGCAGUGUACCCGCGGCAAGACGGAAAGACCCCGUGAACCUUUACUAUAGCUUGACACUGAACAUUGAGCCUUGAUGUGUAGGAUAGGUGGGAGGCUUUGAAGCGUGGACGCCAGUCUGCGUGGAGCCAACCUUGAAAUACCACCCUUUAAUGUUUGAUGUUCUAACGUUGGCCCCUGACCGGGGUUGCGGACAGUGUCUGGUGGGUAGUUUGACUGGGGCGGUCUCCUCCCAAAGCGUAACGGAGGAGCACGAAGGUUAGCUAAUCCUGGUCGGACAUCAGGAGGUUAGUGCAAUGGCAUAAGCUAGCUUGACUGCGAGCGUGACGGCGCGAGCAGGUGCGAAAGCAGGUCAUAGUGAUCCGGUGGUUCUGAAUGGAAGGGCCAUCGCUCAACGGAUAAAAGGUACUCCGGGGAUAACAGGCUGAUACCGCCCAAGAGUUCAUAUCGACGGCGGUGUUUGGCACCUCGAUGUCGGCUCAUCACAUCCUGGGGCUGAAGUAGGUCCCAAGGGUAUGGCUGUUCGCCAUUUAAAGUGGUACGCGAGCUGGGUUUAGAACGUCGUGAGACAGUUCGGUCCCUAUCUGCCGUGGGCGCUGGAGAAUUGAGGGGGGCUGCUCCUAGUACGAGAGGACCGGAGUGGACGCAUCACUGGUGUUCGGGUUGUCAUGCCAAUGGCACUGCCCGGUAGCUAAAUGCGGAAGAGAUAAGUGCUGAAAGCAUCUAAGCACGAAACUUGCCCCGAGAUGAGUUCUCCCUGAGACUUUAAGUCUCCUGAAGGAACGUUGAAGACGACGACGUUGAUAGGCCGGGUGUGUAAGCGCAGC